AUACGGGGGGGGCGAGCGUUGUUCGGAAUUACUGGGCGUAAAGGGCUCGUAGGCGGCCCAUCAAGUCGGACGUGAAAUCCCCCGGCUCAACCUGGGAACUGCGUCCGAUACUGGGGGGCUUGAAUGCGGGAGAGGGAUGCGGAAUUCCAGGUGUAGCGGUGAAAUGCGUAGAUAUCUGGAGGAACACCGGUGGCGAAGGCGGCAUCCUGGACCGUGAUUGACGCUGAGGAGCGAAAGCCAGGGGAGCAAACGGGAUUAGAUACCCCGGUAGUCCUGGCCCUAAACGAUGAAUGCUUGGUGUGGCGGGUAUCGAUCCCUGCCGUGCCGGAGCUAACGCGGUAAGCAUUCCGCCUGGGGAGUACGGUCGCAAGGCUGAA
rnacentral:rRNA from 1 species